rnacentral:rRNA from 1 species
GAUGAACGCUGGCGGCGUGCUUAACACAUGCAAGUCGAACGGGAAGGCCUUGUUUUUGUGGCGUGCUCGAGUGGCGAACGGGAGAGUAACACGUGAGUAACCGGCCCUUGACUGUGGGAUAACGUCAGGAAACUGGGGCUAAUACCGGAUAGGAGCGCCUGCUGCUGGGUGGGGGCUGGAGAGUGUCGGCGGUGGGGGAUGGACUAGCGGCGUAUCAGCUUGUUGGUGGGGGAGUGGCCUACCAAGACUUUGACGGGUAGCAGGCCUGAGCGGGUGACCGGCCACAAUGGGACUGAGAUAAGGCGCAGAAUACUCCGGGAGGCAGCAGUGGUGAAUAAUGCACAAUGGGCGGAGGCAUGAUGCAGCAGCGCCGCGGGGGGGAUGACGGCCUUCGGGGUGUAAACCGCUUUCGCCUGUGGAGAAGCGUGAGUGACGGUAAUGGGUAAAGAAGCACCGGCUAACUCCGUG